UUAAGCAUAUCACUAAGCGGAGGAAAAGAAACUAACCAGGAUUCCCCUAGUAAUGGCGAAUGAACAGGGAAGAGCUCAAGCUUGAAUCUUCGGAAUUGUAGUCUAUAGGCAGCAUCUCGUGCAGACCCGGGUAUAAAUCCGUUCUUGGAACUGGGUGCCAGAGAGGGUUAGAGCCCCGUCUUUGACUCGGUGUAUGCGCGUGGUGAGUGCUUGCCAGAGAGUCGGCUUGCUUGGGAAUGCAGGUCAAAAUGGGUGGUAAACUUCAUCUAAAGCUAAAUAUUGGCGAGAGACCGAUAGCGAACAAGUACUGUGAAGGAAAGAUGGAAAGCACUUUGAAAAGAGAGUGAAAAAGGGCCUGAAAUUGUUAAGAGGAUAAGGGGUUGGAGCAUAUCAUAUCUCAAGUAUUCCAGAGUGCCCUCGGGCGCUUUACUUGCUUGGGGUUGGUCAGCAUCUAUUCCUGGCGGGGGAGAAGACAUGGCCUGAUUCUUUCGGGAGGACGGACGUGAGAAACCCUGUUGGGGAUAGAGGCACAAAGAGCGCGCAUAGCGACCGGCCCUCUGUGCGGGGGCAUGCGAGUGAAUGAUCCAUUGGUAUCUUAACUCGUGUGUUUCUGACGCAGGGGAGCGCUGGAUCAGCGUUCUUAAGAUGCUGGCACAAAUGGCUUCAACCCGCCCGUCUUGAAAC
rnacentral:rRNA from 1 species